CUGACUGACUGGCAGGGAAACUCAGCUAUUUAACCUCAGUGGGGUCGUUUGCCAGGAUCGUUGAUACCGCUGGUUCGUUAGUGUUCCUGGCUGUUGUAACGACAGUCAUUACAGUCGUUAGUACUACCGAGGCCGAGACUGAACGACCAUCGUUGGUAUCUUCACCUACCUCAGUUGGGAAGUGUUUUAGGGUAUCAUAUAUUUUUUGUGCUUUAGGACUUUUCAGCGUUUUUGAGGAUUUUAUAUAUAAUUUAAAUUAAUUAAAAAAAGCAACAAAUUUGGGAGUAGACUUUACAAUUCUACAUUUGUGAAUGAAAAAAUUAACUAUUACUACUGAGCUCAUCACCCUUGCUUUGCAAUAUCAAUCCAAAUGUUUAUGUUUAAACUCAUUUAUGUAUAUCACACCAAAAUGUCUGUAUCACAUUACAUGAGAAAAACACAUGGUCUGUAGUUUCGAUAUCACUUUCACAAAAUGUACAUGUGUUAUCAUCGUUAUCAUCUAUACCAAAGCGAAGUCUAAGUAAUUCUUGUUGUUCUUAAUUUAGUAAUUGAAUCUUUAUCAAAUUUUGUAGGAUGUUGUUUUUAUUUUGUCUUUCAGGGUAAAGGUAUUCAGUAAAACAAUUUCUAAUAAAGUGGUUAGUGCAUUUUCUAUCCAGAACAAAGAUUCCUUGAAUUGAUAGUGGGCCCAAUUGUGGUUGUAUUGGAUGAUAUGCCAAAGUGUUAGAAAGUCAAAUUCUUGGGGUAGUGUUCUAUGUAAUUUAGUAAAGUCUGAUUUUAAGGGUUUGAAAUUAUGCUUGAUGCAAAAUUGUUCAUAAUUUAAAAAUUGUCCAUUGGUAUCCAUUAAGUCAGCUAUGGACCAUAUAUUUCUCCCAUACCAAUCUUCAAAGAACAGAGAUCUGUUGCGGUGCAAAACACAUGGUGUGGGGUGAGAAGUUAUGUACAUAUAACAUUUUCCAAUACAAGAGUAUUUGUCUAUGAAACUCUGACAAUGAUAUAGGUAAUUUGUCAACAUUAAAGUUCGCUCUAAGAAGAAAUUCUAAACCUCCAAUUUUCUUGAAUAAGGCAUUUGGAAUACAAUGCCAAAAGAAGUUGCUGUGUUUGAUCCAAGAUUUUACCCAAUUUAUUUUUAAGGUUCCAUUAAGGCAGUCAAAAUCAAUAACUUUGAGUCCUCCAUCCUUUGUGUCUUUAACCAUACUGCUCUUCUUCAUAUAAUGUGGUCUAUUUCUCCAAAUGAAAUUUAAAUUGAUUUGGUUGAUAGAUUUAAUCAAUUUGUUUGGAAUGGCAUUGGAAUAGGCUGGGUAAAUACAUCUCGAUAAACAUUCCAUCUUAGUUAGGUAAAUUCGACCUAGUAUUGAUAAGUCCCUCUGUAGCCAUAUAUUUAGUCUUGACUUGCAUUCUUUAAUUUUAUUUUCUACAUUCAGAAGUUUUAAUUUCUGAUUUAAUAGGGAUAUUACAGAUGUCUUUCAGUAGAGUGUCGUGUACAGCCAGCAAUUCACACUUUUUUAAGUUUAAUGUUAGGCCUAAUGCUUUGGAGAAUGUUUCGAUUUUGGCAAUAGUUGUUUAAAUUUGGUAUCUUUUAAGAAUAUUGUUGUGUCAUCUGCUAGUUGGCUGAGUAUAAUGUCUGUUCCAAGUACAUUAAGUUUUUUAAUAUCAUUACAGUUUUUAAUAUAGAUUGCUAGCAAUCUGUGGCUAAGAUGAACAGGUAUGGUGAGAUUUGGCAACGUUGAGGAAUACCCACAUUAACCUUGAAUCUCAGUCCACUGAUGAUGGUAGUGUUAUUUACGCAACCCAACCCACAACCCUCAACCCACCAGCCAUUGCUUUGACUCACCGCGUCAAGUGCAUCAUGGGAAUGAUAAGCGUAAACAACACUACUAUCAUCAGUGGGCUGAGAUCGGUGACAGCAAACAAGAGGACCCCCUGGCAUACAGCUGUAUGUUUCAGUGAAGGUGGUGGUGCUGAAUGGUGUCUGCCUAAACAAGUACAGGUGUCGGCGAGGCAGUAACUCCUUGGAGGGCUUGCACUCACACCUGUACAAUGCCAUUCCCCACAGAGAUGUGGAGUUAUGCCAUUCCAAGUGUAUCUGAUUGCAUUUGCUGUGCAGUGGAACAGCCGCAUGGAAUCACUCCGGGUUGCUGGUGGUCAUGGCAGUCAGACGUGGUGUAUGGACCCGCGGCAGAUUCAGCAGGCUGAGGUGCUCUUCGGUAAAGAGCAUGUCCUCAAGCCCAACUUUGCCGCUCCAAUGCCCUACCCUGCUGUAUACAAGGACCCAGAUGAGGAGGAGCUCCUUGGAGUAGAGUAUGCCACGUGCCAGUCAACCAGCUUAACUCCAAGGGAUUACUAUGCCCAGUAAGGUACAAAAUCUUGCAUUAUAACAAUAUACAUACAUACUAAGUGGUCAAAUACCUAUAAAUAUCAUGCAUAUCAAAGUUAUUGAUUUUGACUGCCUUAAUGGAACCUUAAAAAUAAAUUGGGUAAAAUCUUGGAUCAAACACAGCAACUUCUUUUGGCAUUGUAUUCCAAAUGCCUUAUUCAAGAAAAUUGGAGGUUUAGAAUUUCUUCUUAGAGCGAACUUUAAUGUUGACAAAUUACCUAUAUCAUUGUCAGAGUUUCAUAGACAAAUACUCUUGUAUUGGAAAAUUUUAUAUGUACAUAACUUCUCACCCCACACCAUGUGUUUUGCACCGCAACAGAUCUCUGUUCUUUGAAGAUUGGUAUGGGAGAAAUAUAUGGUCCAUAGCUGACUUAAUGGAUACCAACGGACAAUUUUUAAAUUAUGAACAAUUUUGCAUCAAGCAUAAUUUCAAACCCUUAAAAUCAGACUUUACUAAAUUACAUAGAACACUACCCCAAGAAUUUGACUUUCUAACACUUUGGCAUAUCAUCCAAUACAACCACAAUUGGGCCCACUAUCAAUUCAAGGAAUCUUUGUUCUGGAUAGAAAAUGCACUAACCACUUUAUUAGAAAUUGUUUUACUGAAUACCUUUACCCUGAAAGACAAAAUAAAAACAACAUCCUACAAAAUUUGAUAAAGAUUCAAUUACUAAAUUAAGAACAACAUCUAACACUCCUUAUACCCCCCAAAAUGAAAGAAACGUAAUGAACACCAUUUACCCCUCUAAAGAAUUACUUAGACUUCGCUUUGGUAUAGAUGAUAACGAUGAUAACACAUGUACAUUUUGUGAAAGUGAUAUCGAAACUACAGACCAUGUGUUUUUCUCAUGUAAUGUGAUACAGACAUUUUGGUGUGAUAUACAUAAAUGAGUUUAAACAUAAACAUUUGGAUUGAUAUUGCAAAGCAAGGGUGAUGAGCUCAGUAGUAAUAGCUAAUUUUUUCAUUCACAAAUGUAGAAUUGUGAAGUCUACUCCCAAAUUUGUUGUUUUUUUAAAUUAAUUUAAAUUAUAUAUAAAAUCCUCAAAAACGCUGAAAAGUCCUAAAGCAAAAAAAAAAAUAUAUGAUACCCUAAAACACUUCCCAACUGAGGUAGGUGAAGAUACCAACGAUGGUCGUUCAGUCUCGGCCUCGGUAGUACUAACGACUGUAAUGACUGUCGUUACAACAGCCAGGAACACUAACGAACCAGCGGUAUCAACGAUCCUGGCAAACGACCCCACUGAGGUUAAAUAGCUGAGUUUCCCUGCCAGUCAGUCAGAACUGAAGAAGUCCUUUGGAUGAGGGACGAAAGGUCUUCCAGUAUCUUCAACCAAGUCCAGUUGCCCUUGACUUUAACCUUUGUUGGAUUUUAAAAGCAUUAAUCGUUAAUCAUUGCCGCUCCAAUGCCCUACCCUGCUGUAUACAAGGACCCAGAUGAGGAGGAGCUCCUUGGAGUAGAGUAUGCCACGUGCCAGUCAACCAGCUUAACUCCAAGGGAUUACUAUGCCCAGUAAGUUGAGGAAGAGCAGUCCCGUGAAGAAGAGGAGACGGCUGAACAAAGUGAGGACGAGCUGGCAGAUGAGGGUGUGGUCGUGGGUGCAGAGUCAGAGCAGGAUCCUAUGGACACUGUCAGUGACAAACAUGUCAUCCUCACUCAAUCAGAACAGGUGGAGGAGAAGGACAGUCCUGCUCUGCAGGAUGUGCUGAUGACCCAGAGCCAUCUGCAUCUUCCUGGGCUGGAGAAGCCUUGGCCCUGCUCCUUUUAGAACUGGCAGACAACAGUCACCUAGUGCCAGCUGACCUAAGGCUGAAGAUUGGCGAUUCAAGGCCAUCUCUACAUUCAUGGCACGGGAAGAGAAGAAGGCUAACUACAGGGCCAAAGGUGAAACCCCACCAAAGAGUGCUGUCAGAAGAACCAAUGCCAGCAGCUCCUACUCUGCCAGAAUCCCUACCAGCUCCAGAUCGACCUCAG